rnacentral:miRNA from 1 species
UAAUCUCAUGACCGGUCAGCUGA